rnacentral:lncRNA from 1 species
CUACGUUUUUUUAAUUUAUGCUUCUUAUCUCACCUUAGACAUGUUCUAAACCUUGAGAAGGUGACGGAAAUAAAAAAAUAACCUUUUACAGAGAAAACCUACUCCUGCCUAAACUCCCAAACAGUCCUUCAUGUUGUGGAUUUAGCAGUCAGAGUCUGCGCAGAAGAUGCAGGAGGCGGAGUCAGGUUUGAGGUUUUUCUUGCUCCGCCCCCUUUCUCCCAGAACAAGUAUUUCUGAAGACUGACUGAAAACUACAGCGCAGCCUACUGGACCAGAAGAACAGCAGAUUUUCCACCUGUAUAUCCACUUUCUAUGAUGUAGCAGCUGAGAUAAGGCUAUGUCACAUCUUCACUCCUUCAAUAGAGAGAGAGAGAGAUGGCAUCACAUCGAAAGGAGCACAAGGAAAAAAGGUGCAGAAAAGCACACAGUUACACGGACAACAGGUUGUACCAUGACAUUUUGGAAGCCCUGAAAUGGUGCCAGGUGAACAAGAGAAAUUUCCUUGGAAAUGUUUCACCUCCUCCGGUACUGGGCAUGUCUGAAGAUGAAGCAGAAGAGGCCUUUGCAAAUCUGGACGCUCUAAAUAUACUGACUGAAGAGGACGAGAGAUCCAACAUACUAAGAACCUUUUCCUUCCUUUUUGUCAGGCUAGAAGACAUGUCUCUGUUCCUAGAUAAUGUUAGAGACAAAAUGGGCAUGAAAGUUUUUUGUGAAUUAAUUUAA